CAACCCAUUUGGCCGGAAUCUGUGAGGAUUAUGAAAAUUGGGACAAUUUAUGUUUUGUGUAAGACUGACACAGAUGCUCCUGAAAACAGGGAGAGUCAAUUUUUCAGGGACACAAGCCAACUCUGCUGGAAGUGUUAAGGAGGACAUUGACAAGUGACCAGACAUCCAAGUGGAAGAUGGGUGACUUCUGGCUACCUAGUCACAGGUAAAUCCACAGCCAUUAUCCUUGGAGAAAGAGGGCA